rnacentral:tRNA from 1 species
GAGUGUAGCUUGGUGGUAGAGCACUUGCUUAGCAUGCAGGAGGCCCUCAGCUCAAUCCCCAGAACCACACA